rnacentral:rRNA from 1 species
ACGGGUGAGUAACGCGUGGGGAACCUGCCCCGCUCCGGGGGAUACCAGCUGGAAACGGCUGUUAAUACCGCAUAAGCGCACAGCAUUGCAUGAUGCAGUGUGAAAAACUCCGGUGGAACGGGAUGGCCCCGCGUCUGAUUAGCCAGUUGGCAGGGUAACGGCCUACCAAAGCGACGAUCAGUAGCCGGCCUGAGAGGGCGACCGGCCACAUUGGGACUGAGACACGGCCCAAACUCCUACGGGAGGCAGCAGUGGGGAAUAUUGCACAAUGGGGGAAACCCUGAUGCAGCGACGCCGCGUGAGUGAGGAAGUAUUUCGGUAUGUAAAGCUCUAUCAGCAGGGAAGAAGAUGACGGUACCUGCACAAGAAGCCCCGGCUAACUACGUGCCAGCAGCCGCGGUAAUACGUAGGGGGCAAGCGUUAUCCGGAUUUACUGGGUGUAAAGGGAGCGUAGACGGAAGGUCAAGUCAGGUGUGAAAGGCAUGGGCUCAACCCGUGGACUGCACUUGAAACUGGUCAUCUCGAGUGUCGGAGGGGCAGGCGGAAUUCCUGGUGUAGCGGUGAAAUGCGUAGAUAUCAGGAAGAACACCGGUGGCGAAGGCGGCCUGCUGGACGAUCACUGACGUUGAGGCUCGAAGGCGUGGGGAGCAAACAGGAUUAGAUACCCUGGUAGUCCACGCAGUAAACGAUGAAUACUAGGUGCUGGGUUCCACAGGGAUUCGGUGCCGGCGCAAACGCAUUAAGUAUUCCACCUGGGGAGUACGUUCGCAAGAAUGAAACUCAAAUGAAUUGACGG